CGGCCUCUGCCUGUUCCGGGGGAGGCCGGGUCCUGGGCUGUGCCCCGGCGGCCUGAGCUCCAGAGCCUGUGCUGUUGGAUUCGCGGUCCCGGGCCCCGCACCCCCCUCCGCGGAGCCUCUUC